GAGGGGCGGGCCGGCCGGCCACUCACGCCCCCGCGCGGACCCUCUGCUACCGCUGCUGCAACCAGACCCGUCGUCCGCCCGCUCGGACCGGGCGGCCGCUCAGACCGGGCCGCCGUCCCCUCGGCGAGGCCUUCCUCUGCCUCCUGUGCCCUGCUCCCGGUUCCCUUCCUGACCUCCAGAGGCUCCCACUGUCCCCAUUCUUGCUGACCCCCUUAAAACGCCAUGUUCUAAGGAGUGAUGUCAUUAUCACGCCCAUGCCAGUGGGUUCAGUUCUGGGUCCCACGUUUGAUGGUUAUGGGACUUACGGACGGAGACGAGGAUUAAGAAGAAACGGGGGAUAUUAACCUGGAGAAAAACAGUUUUUGCACAUCUUUGAAGGCCUUGGACUCUGCCUGAAUUAUACUACUGGCUUUCCUGGGUCUCCAGCUUCCAGACAGCAGAUUGUGGGAUGUCUAGCCUCCAUAUGUUCCUCCUUUCUGUGCCUGGGAACUCUCUCAAAGCAGUGGAGUGAGCUGGGAUAAACUGUCGGGCUUACAGCACUUGUUCCCCAUCUUCCAGGAAUUACUGUUCUUUGCUACCUGAUGUCCAGUGUCUUAAAAACAGUUUUUUAAUUUAUUUUGUCUGUUUUUGUUUUUUAAUU